GAUCAUUAUUGUAUUACCGGGGGUGUAAGGGCCGGUGCCGGCCCUUAAAAGGUUGGGCCCGCCCCAGCCCUUUUGAACCUUCCUUUUUCCCCCUUGGGCCUCCAUGGGGGGGCCCCUUUUCAAAGGGGGCCUGGGUUUUUUUCACAUAAACUUGAUACAGUAUAGAAUAUUAUAUUUUGCUAUUAUAUGCAAUUAAUACAACUUUCAACAACGGAUCUCUUGGCUCUCGCAUCGAUGAAGAACGCAGCGAAAUGCGAUACGUAAUGUGAAUUGCAGAAUUCAGUGAAUCAUCGAAUCUUUGAACGCAACUUGCGUCCCUUGGCAUUCCGAGGGGCACACCUGUUUGAGUGUCGUGAAAUUCUCAAAAACCUUUUUAUUAAAGUUUUUGGACUUGGAGGUUUAAUGCUUGCUUUUGUCUUGGAAGCAAGCUCCUCUGAAAUAAAUUAGUAGGAUCUGCUUUGCUGAUUCUUAAUGUGAUAAGAUGUUUUACAUUUUGAAUUUGGCAUUGUCUCUUAGAUAUCUGCUUCUAAUUGUCUUAUGGACAACAAUGGUGCUUCUGGUUACUGCUAUUUAUAUUAGCAGACAGCUAGACCCAUAUAAAAUAAAAUCGUGACCUCAAAUCAUGG
rnacentral:rRNA from 1 species